CUCCCAGCCAACCUUCACCUCGUUCCAUCAGCGAGUUGAGAAGGGAUGCGUUGGAGAAGAAGAACAAGUAGCCAAAAGUCUGAGACACGAGGUCAGGGUGCAGCUCGCACUGGCUGGUCAGCUCCAAGGCUGCCUGGAACACGCCCAGGGUCCAGUGGCUUUGUGCUUCCUCGCCUCCAAGAAUGAACUCGCUCACUGCUAUCCAAGCUCCAAGCCCAAUGGGCUGCGGUGAAUUCUCACACUGAUCUCUCUGAACUUCUCAUCCAAUGGGAUCUCUCCCCCACCAUCUCCCAUAACGAUUUCUUCCUACGUGGACUCCUUAGCCAUCUACUCUCCCUCUCCUGUGAAUCUCACCUGUGAAUCUCUACUCUGGAACCUUGAGGGACCACGCCCCAGUAGAGUACCUGAGGCUAGCGCGCCCCUGGGCCUUCUGGGAGUUGUAGUUGUGUUGCUCACCCACCAACAGGUAGGGUAUAGGGCUCUGGGCGUGCGGGGCUGGGGC